UCCCUACGGGGCGCAGCAGUAGGGAAUCUUCCACAAUGGACGAAAGUCUGAUGGAGCAACGCCGCGUGAGUGAAGAAGGGUUUCGGCUCGUAAAGCUCUGUUGGUAGUGAAGAAAGAUAGAGGUAGUAACUGGCCUUUAUUUGACGGUAAUUACUAAGAAGCCCCGGCUAACUACGUGCCAGCAGCCGCGGUAAUACGUAGGGGGCAAGCGUUAUCCGGAUUUACUGGGUGUAAAGGGAGCGUAGACGGCAAUACAAGUCGGAAGUGAAAUACCCGGGCUCAACCUGGGAACUGCUUUGGAAACU
rnacentral:rRNA from 1 species